AGCAUACGCUUGUCUCAAAGAUUAAGCCAUGCAUGUCUAAGUAUAAACAACUCUAUACUGUGAAACUGCGAAUGGCUCAUUAUAUCAGUUUUCGUCUAUUUGAUGGUUCUUGCUACUUGGAUAACCGUAGUAAUUCUAGAGCUAAUACAUGCAUCAAUGCCUUUGGGCUGUAUUUAUUAGAUUGAAGCCAAUGCGGGGCAACCCGGAUCCAGGUGAUUCAUAAUAACUUUCGGAUCGAUUUUUUAUCGAUGCAUCAUUCGAGAUUCUGCCCUAUCAGCUUUGGACGGUAAGGUAUUGGCUUACCGUGGCAUUAACGGGUAACGGAGAAUUAGGGUUCGAU
rnacentral:rRNA from 1 species